rnacentral:rRNA from 1 species
GAUGAACGCUGGCGGCGUGCUUAACACAUGCAAGUCGAGCGAAGCACUCUGUCCGGAUUCUUUCGGGAUGACGGACUUAGUGACUGAGCGGCGGACGGGUGAGUAACGCGUGGGUAACCUGCCUCAUACAGGGGGAUAACAGUUAGAAAUGACUGCUAAUACCGCAUAAGACCACAGUACCGCAUGGUACAGGGGUAAAAACUCCGGUGGUAUGAGAUGGACCCGCGUCUGAUUAGCUGGUUGGUGAGGUAACGGCCCACCAAGUCCAACGAUGGGUAGCCGACCUGAGAGGGUG